UCCUCAUAUCUCACCUCAGUUAGUCUGUCCUGCUAUUUGAUCCUGUUCAAUAUAAAGCCCUUUCCUUUGGCAUCCUGCAAAUCUAAGACCCGUCUUGAUGUUUCCCACUGAUACUGGUGGGAAAUGCCCCAUGUGUUGCACCCAGGGCUGAGUAAGUAGUGGCAGAAGGGGCAGCCUGAGAAGAGGUGGUCAUACAUUCACAGCCUCUCUUACUUCCAGAGGAAGCAAUGGGAGAGCAGAGGGAGCUUCCUCUGUGUAACAUUUCUUCCUCACCCAGAAGAGGGAUAGACACCAUGGGAGGUUACUGCCUGUAUCAUGCAACUAAGGUGUUUUGAGAAUUCGAGGUUUGGGCUUUUUUUGUGAUUCAGGGGGAGGGACUCACUGAGAGUCCCUUACUUCAAAUCAAGCUCUUGGGAUAGAUCUCUUAGCGUGUUCCAAAAACAUGAGUUUUCCCUUGUCUCCUUUUAAUGCGAAGCUUGGUCAGGGGUUCACCUCAGUACAUCACUCCUAUUCCAGACAACUCCCAUGUUUACCUCAUGUAACUUCACAUGGCUCCCUUGGGUCCAUCUCAAGGCUGUAGAGAAGUUCUUAGUUCAGCUCUGAUGAAUGAUCAUUUUACUUCCUCGCACUGGAUAAACAGCUGUUUUCCAUGUUACCUGCUUUAGGAGCCUUACUGGCAUGUUGUUUCUUUCCUUGCCUCCAGCAACAAGCAGACACAUCUGACUAAUUGCAACAGGGCUGCACCAGCACCUUCUUGCAGUUGGGGCUGCACAAAAAACGCACAACGUUUUUCCUCAGCGCACCACAUGGCAAACAGCCAUGAGAAAACAUAGCAGGGAACAAGCACUUGCAGUUUCUUUUCCUUAUCUUUUACUCUUCAAGAGAGUGAAAGCAACACAGGCUUGGAGACGAGGGUCCCGUAGCGGCCUGUUGGUCACAGCACUUCCAGCUUCGAGUUCCUACUGGGGAAGCUCUUCCUUUGAAGUACAUCUCACUUGGGCAGGAGCCAAUGUCAUAAGGAGGAAACUAUUAGCUUGUGAAGAGAACCCCACAGGGCGUCAGAGGAAAUUUCUAGACCUGCUGGGAUCAGAAUUGGUGAAGAUCCACCUCAGUGGCUUUCCUCAGGCAGUCAGAAAGGCGAAGACAGGCUGCAACCAGGCCUGAAUGGACCUGUUCUUCUCAGCCAACUGAUAACACUUAAGGAUUUGUGAAAAAUUUUCUUGGCAUUAUGUGGUUGGUGGUAAGCUUGGUCUGAGGGAAUGUACUCAUGGAAAGACAACUCUUUGGCAAAAUUGUCUUUGAGAGUGUGCCAAUAACAGCUAGAGAAACUCAGAUGCAGCUCCAAAAAGGCUGCUCCUCCCUUAUGAGGACCAUUGCAACAGGCAG